UACGUAGGUGGCAAGCGUUAUCCGGAAUUAUUGGGCGUAAAGAGCGCGCAGGUGGUUGAUUAAGUCUGAUGUGAAAGCCCACGGCUUAACCGUGGAGGGUCAUUGGAAACUGGUCGACUUGAGUGCAGAAGAGGGAAGUGGAAUUCCAUGUGUAGCGGUGAAAUGCGUAGAGAUAUGUAGGAACACCAGUGGCGAAGGCGGCUUCCUGGUCUGUAACUGACACUGAGGCGCGAAAGCGUGGGGAGCAAACAGGAUUAGAUACCCCGGUA
rnacentral:rRNA from 1 species